rnacentral:rRNA from 1 species
UCAGACGAUGCGUCAUGCAUAUCAAUAAGCGGAGGAAAAGAAACUAACAAGGAUUCCCCUAGUAACGGCGAGUGAAGCGGGAAGAGCUCAAAUUUGAAAUCUUAAAGGGUUUCCCUUUACGAAUUGUAGUUUAAAGAAGUGUUUUCUGUUGAGGUUUUGGUAAAAGUUCUUUGGAAUAGGACAUCAUAGAGGGUGAGAAUCCUGUACUUUGACCUUUACUUUCAACUUUGUGAUACACUUUCAAAGAGUCGGAUUGUUUGGGAAUGCAGUCCAAAAUGGGUGGUAAAUUUCAUCUAAAGCUAAAUAUUGGCGAGAGACCGAUAGCGAACAAGUACCGUGAGGGAAAGAUGAAAAGAACUUUGAAAAGAGAGUUAAACAGUACGUGAAAUUGUCAAAAGGGAAGCGUUUGACACCAGUGUUGUUUUUCUGAAAAUCAAUUAAAGAACUGUUUAUGCUAAGCUUGUUUAGACUUUAUCAGUUAUCUGUUUAGUUUUGAGCUUUUCUUUAAUGCACUUUUCAGUUAACAAGUCAACAUCAAUUUCUUUUGCUGUAAAAAAGCUUGAGGAAGGUGGCUUGAGAUUCGUCUUAAGUGUUUAUAGCCUCUUGCCUAUGCAGUCGGAGAGAUUGAGGUCUGCAGCGUAGAUCCUUCGGGGCUAAAUGCAUUUGUGCUAAGUUAUAGCAUUUUAUAGACAACUUGUUGACUAUGAUUUGUCUUGUAGCUUACUCGCUUAUGUUAUUUUACCUACGCUUAGGAUGUUGAGCGCAUGUCUCUCUCU